GAAAUGAGCGAGGGGUUCAAACAGUUUUUAUUGUUUCCAAACAUAAUUAAUACAUUUCAGGUAAAUCAGUCCAGUAACAAGAACCUGAGAAGCCGAGGGUAUCGCUUUGAAAAAUACAGUUUCGAGAAAAACGCAUUUAAAGUUUACUAGUCCGACCGCAGCAACUGUGAAAAUAAUUUGGAUUUUGAAAAAUCUUCUUCGUCUCCGACGUUUCCUUCUGAGUGUUACACACUUCGUGACAAACUUAAUGUGGGCCAUAAAUAUAUGUUCAUAUACACACAUACAUUCAUACAUAAAUAUUUAAUUUUGAAGAAUACUGCCAAUGUAGGUCUCCUUUCCAGGGAUGAAUUCGGAAACAUUCCGGUUGCGCAGACCUGACAGUCGACCGGAUGGAGAGCAUUACAACACCGGCGGCUGGAAAAACAUACAACAAACUUCUACUUGUUCUUCCCCAAGCGAUUUCGAAUGAAAACACGAAUGCUUUGUGA